rnacentral:lncRNA from 1 species
AAAGAGGUGGGGGAUAAGUCGCCUGCUGCUUGUUCUCCAAGUCUUAUCAGAGAAUCAGAGGUUGGACUCUGUAAUAUGUGAAAUAAAUCAGCCGUUGUCUUAAUGUGUUUUUUCCAGAAAAACCCUCAGGUCAUGUAUCUGGAGCAAGAACUAGAAAGCCUGAAAGCUGUGUUGGAGAUCAAGAAUGAGAAGCUGCAUCAGCAGGACCUGAAGCUAAUGAAGAUGGAAAAGCUGGUAGGUCUCCUGGGGGGCAGAGUGAGCACAGCCUGUGUGUGUGCGCAUGCGUGGGUGCGCAUGCGUGGGUGCGCAUGUCCAUGCGCGAGCGGUGUUGCCUGGGAAAUAGGACGGCAGAGCUUAGAGCUUUGGAGCUGUGGGGUUGAGCUCUCUUGUACUUAAUGAUAUUUGGAAAGUACCCAAAGGGUCAGAGCUGCAUUUUUCGUUUCCAAGUCUAUUAAAAGCUUCAUUGCUGCUUUCUAGAACUUUUUUUAUAGAAUGCACACAAAGCAUUUAGUUUUGGAAAAAGUAUAACAAAUCAAGUUCACAUUUCAGUAGUCUGUGAAUCUUUACUUGCCUAACCA